GAUGAACGCUGGCGGCGUGCCUAAUACAUGCAAGUCGAGCGGACGGAUGGGAGCUUGCUCCCAGACCGUCAGCGGCGGACGGGUGAGUAACACGUGGGCAACCUGCCUGUAAGACUGGGAUAACUCCGGGAAACCGGGGCUAAUACCGGAUAACUCUUUCCCUCACAUGAGGGAAAGCUGAAAGAUGGCAUCUCGCUAUCACUUACAGAUGGGCCCGCGGCGCAUUAGCUAGUUGGUGAGGUAACGGCUCACCAAGGCGACGAUGCGUAGCCGACCUGAGGGGGUGAUCGGCCACACUGGGACUGAGACACGGCCCAGACUCCUACGGGAGGCAGCAGUAGGGAAUCUUCCGCAAUGGACGAAAGUCUGACGGAGCAACGCCGCGUGAGUGAUGAAGGUUUUCGGAUCGUAAAACUCUGUUGUCAGGGAAGAACAAGUACCGGAGUAACUGCCGGUACCUUGACGGUACCUGACCAGAAAGCCACGGCUAACUACGUG
rnacentral:rRNA from 1 species